rnacentral:rRNA from 1 species
UGGGGAAUUGUUCACAAUGGGCGCAAGCCUGAUGACGCAACGCCGCGUGGGGGAUGAAGGUCUUCGGAUUGUAAACCCCUGUCGAAUGGGACGAAAGACUCUGGAGCUAAUCAUCCGGAGAGUGACGGUACCUCCUUAGCAAGCACCGGCUAACUCUGUGCCAACAGCCGCGGUAAUACAGAGGGUGCAAACGUUGUUCGGAAUUACUGGGCGUAAAGCGCGUGCAGGCGGCCUUGCAAGUCGGACGUGAAAUCCCACGGCUCAACCGUGGAAGUGCAUUCGAAACUGCGAGGCUGGAGUCCUGGAGAGGAAAGUGGAAUACUCGGUGUAGAGGUGAAAUUCGUAGAUAUCGAGUGGAACACCGGUGGCGAAGGCGGCUUUCUGGACAGGUACUGACGCUGAGACGCGAAAGCGUGGGGAGCAAA